AACGAACGCUGGCGGCAGGCUUAACACAUGCAAGUCGAACGCCCCGCAAGGGGAGUGGCAGACGGGUGAGUAACGCGUGGGAACGUGCCCUUCGCUUCGGAAUAGCCCCGGGAAACUGGGAGUAAUACCGGAUACGCCGUCUUGGGAAAGAUUUAUCGGCGAAGGAUCGGCCCGCGUUGGAUUAGCUAGUUGGAGGUGUAAUGGACCCCCAAGGCUACGAUCCAUAGCUGGUCUGAGAGGAUGAUCAGCCACACUGGGACUGAGACACGGCCCAGACUCCUACGGGAGGCAGCAGUGGGGAAUCUUGGACAAUGGGCGCAAGCCUGAUCCAGCCAUGCCGCGUGAGUGAAGAAGGCCUUAGGGUUGUAAAACUCUUUCGCCGGAGAAGAUAAUGACGGUAUCCGGAGAAGAAGCCCCGGCUAACUUCGUGCCAGCAGCCGCGGUAAAAC
rnacentral:rRNA from 1 species